rnacentral:rRNA from 1 species
UACGUAGGGACCAAGCGUUGUUCGGAUUUACUGGGCGUAAAGGGCUCGUAGGCGGCAUGUCAAGUCACUUGUGAAAUCUCCGGGCUUAACUCGGAACGGUCAAGUGAUACUGUCGCGCUAGAGUGCGGAAGGGGCAAUCAGAAUUCUUGGUGUAGCGGUGAAAUGCGUAGAUAUCAAGAGGAAUACCUGAGGUGAAGACGGGUUGCUAGGCCGACACUGACGCUGAAGCGCGAAAGCCAGGGGAGCAAACGGG